rnacentral:rRNA from 1 species
GGUUAAGUUAGAAAGGGCGCACGGUGGAUGCCUUGGCACUAGGAGCCGAAGAAGGACGGGACUAACACCGAUAUGCUUUGGGGAGCUGUACGUAAGCGUUGAUCCAGAGAUUUCCGAAUGGGGGAACCCACUAUCUUUAGUCGGAUAGUAUCCUUACGUGAAUACAUAGCGUGAGGAAGGCAGACCCAGGGACCUGAAACAUCUAAGUACCUGGAGGACGAGAAAGAAAAAUCGAUUUCCUGAGUAGCGGCGAGCGAAACGGAAAGAGCCCAAACCAAGAAGCUUGCUUCUUGGGGUUGUAGGACACUCUAUACGGAGUUACAAAAGAAAGUUAUAAAUGAAGCGGUCUGGAAAGGCCCGCCAAAGACGGUAACAGCCCGGUAGUUGAAAUGGCUUUCCCUCCAGAGUGGAUCCUGAGUACGGCGGAACACGUGAAAUUCCGUCGGAAUCCGGGAGGACCAUCUCCCAAGGCUAAAUACUCCCUAGUGACCGAUAGUGAACCAGUACCGUGAGGGAAAGGUGAAAAGCACCCCGGAAGGGGAGUGAAACAGUUCCUGAAACCGUGUGCCUACAAGUAGUUAGAGCCCGUUAAUGGGUGAUAGCGUGCCUUUUGUAGAAUGAACCGGCGAGUUACGAUUUGUUGCAAGGUUAAGCGGAAAAAGCGGAGCCGUAGCGAAAGCGAGUCUGAAUAGGGCGCAUAAGUAACAGGUCGUAGACCCGAAACCAGGUGAUCUACCCAUGUCCAGGAUGAAGGUAAGGUAAUACUUACUGGAGGUCCGAACCCACGCACGUUGAAAAGUGCGGGGAUGAGGUGUGGGUAGCGGAGAAAUUCCAAUCGAACUUGGAGAUAGCUGGUUCUCUCCGAAAUAGCUUUAGGGCUAGCCUCGAGGUAAAGAGUCAUGGAGGUAGAGCACUGUUUGGACUAGGGGCCCUUCUCGGGUUACCGAAUUCAGAUAAACUCCGAAUGCCAUGUACUUAUACUCGGGAGUCAGACUGCGAGUGAUAAGAUCCGUAGUCGAAAGGGAAACAGCCCAGACCACCAGUUAAGGUCCCCAAAUAUAUGUUAAGUGGAAAAGGAUGUGGGGUUGCUUAGACAACCAGGAUGUUGGCUUAGAAGCAGCCACCAUUGAAAGAGUGCGUAAUAGCUCACUGGUCGAGUGACCCCGCGCCGAAAAUGUACCGGGGCUAAACAUAUUACCGAAACUGUGGAUGAACCUCUUUAGAGGUUCGUGGUAGGAGAGCGUUCUAAGGGCGGUGAAGUCAGACCGGAAGGACUGGUGGAGCGCUUAGAAGUGAGAAUGCCGGUAUGAGUAGCGAAAGAAGGGUGAGAAUCCCUUCCACCGAAUAUCUAAGGUUUCCUGAGGAAGGCUCGUCCGCUCAGGGUUAGUCGGGACCUAAGCCGAGGCCGAUAGGCGUAGGCGAUGGACAACAGGUAGAGAUUCCUGUACCAGUGCUAAUUGUUUAACCGAUGGGGUGACACAGAAGGAUAGGGAAUCGCACGAAUGGAAAUGUGCGUCCAAGCAGUGAGUGUGAGAAGUAGGCAAAUCCGCUUCUCGCGAAGCAUGAGCUGUGAUGGGGAAGGAAAUUAAGUACGGAAGUUCCUGAUUUCACGCUGUCAAGAAAAGCCUCUAGGAAGAGUAGUACUGCCCGUACCGCAAACCGACACAGGUAGAUGAGGAGAGAAUCCUAAGGUGAGCGAGAGAACUCUCGUUAAGGAACUCGGCAAAAUGACCCCGUAACUUCGGGAGAAGGGGUGCUCUAUUAGGGUGCAAGCCCGAGAGAGCCGCAGUGAAUAGGCCCAGGCGACUGUUUAGCAAAAACACAGGUCUCUGCAAAACCGUAAGGUGACGUAUAGGGGCUGACGCCUGCCCGGUGCUGGAAGGUUAAGAGGAGUGCUUAGCUUCGGCGAAGGUACGAAUUGAAGCCCCAGUAAACGGCGGCCGUAACUAUAACGGUCCUAAGGUAGCGAAAUUCCUUGUCGGGUAAGUUCCGACCCGCACGAAAGGCGCAACGAUCUGGGCACUGUCUCAACGAGAGACUCGGUGAAAUUAUAGUACCUGUGAAGAUGCAGGUUACCCGCGACAGGACGGAAAGACCCCGUGGAGCUUUACUGCAACCUGAUAUGGAAUGUUUGUACCGCUUGUACAGGAUAGGUAGGAGCCGAAGAGACGUGUGCGCUAGCAUACGAGGAGGCAAUGGUGGGAUACUACCCUGGCUGUAUGACCAUUCUAACCCGCCACGCUUAGCGCGUGGGGAGACAGUGUCAGGUGGGCAGUUUGACUGGGGCGGUCGCCUCCU